rnacentral:rRNA from 1 species
CCUACGGGAGGCAGCAGUAGGGAAUCUUCCGCAAUGGACGAAAGUCUGACGGAGCAACGCCGCGUGAGUGAUGAAGGCUUUCGGGUCGUAAAACUCUGUUGUUAGGGAAGAACAAGUACAAGAGUAACUGCUUGUACCUUGACGGUACCUAACCAGAAAGCCACGGCUAACUACGUGCCAGCAGCCGCGGUAAUACGUAGGUGGCAAGCGUUAUCCGGAAUUAUUGGGCGUAAAGCGCGCGCAGGCGGUUUCUUAAGUCUGAUGUGAAAGCCCACGGCUCAACCGUGGAGGGUCAUUGGAAACUGGGGAACUUGAGUGCAGAAGAGAAAGCGGAAUUCCACGUGUAGCGGUGAAAUGCGUAGAGAUGUGAGGAACACCAGUGCGAAGGCGGCUUUUUGGUCUGUAACUGACGCUGAGGCGCGAAAGCGUGGGGAGCAAACAGGAUUAGAUACCUGGUAGUCCACGCCGUAAACGAUGAGUGCUAAGUGUUAGAGGGUUUCCGCCCUUUAGUGCUGCAGCUAACGCAUUAAGCACUCCGCCUGGGGAGUACGGUCGCAAGACUGAAACUCAGAAUGACGAAUUGAGCGGGAAGGGUUAUAGAGCCCGACACGAGCGGUGGAGCAUGUGGUUUAAUUCGAAGCAACGCGAAGAACCUUAC